AUUUAUUCAAUCCUAUUGUUAUGGUUUUGAUGCUAGUUUGACUACUCGCCGGUAGAUGGUAGCUAAAAACAAUAUUGCGUUUUCUUUUCCAGGCCCUCUUUCAUCCAGCGUGCUUUACAUGUUCCGAAUGCGACGAGUUGCUCGUUGAACUCGCCUAUUGUGCUUUAGACGGCCGCCUCUACUGUGUUCGACAUUAUGGAGAGCGUCUCAAGCCGAGAUGUCAUGCCUGUGAUGAGGUCAUAUAGGCCGCGGCCUAGCGUCCUAAGCGGCAGAUUUCAGAGGACGGUCACUUGAUUGAUGAAGACCGUCUUCAAUGUCUCAAGAAAAAAUGAAUUCUCUGGCUCUUCUCUACAUAGAAGCAGAUAUAAUCAAUACCAUAAACUAUGAUGAUAUUAUAAAUGAUUUUGCUAAUAAAAAGGCUCGUAAAAAAUUGUA